rnacentral:lncRNA from 1 species
CGUGGAGUGCGCGUACGCGUGGCCCUGUUUUCAUCCCAAAGUUGAUUUUUGAGUUUUAAAAGCCAAAUCUCAUACUUCUAAGCCUCCGAUCUCACCAUUUAUGUCUUAAAUCAUUAUGACAUGCCUAGCUAUUAAAAAGGGGCUAGUGAAUGAGGUAACUUGCGAGUGAAGCAAGGGAAAAAUGAAUGAUCAAUGAGGAUCAAGAUGAUUAUGUGAGAUGCGGAGGAUGGUGGUGGAAGUGCUUGUUAAGCCAUGGGCCGAAAGGCUGUAAUUGCUAAUGAAACGGCUGGUUAUGGAUUUAACCGUGAGCCGGAAAGGCUGUGUAUAAUAUGAAUAUUGGCUGGUUCUGGACUGAACCGUGAGCCGGAUGGCUGAUAUGGAUGUUGAUCCAUGGAUGAGAAUUUAUGCAUGCUUAUGCUGAAUUAUUGAUAAUUGAGAUUUGCACUUCCACUAUCAGAGGCACGAGAUCCCUGGGAGGAAGCAGUGGCUAGCCACCACGUGCUCCAGGUGGAGGCUCGAGACUCUGUUGACCCUAUGUCGUAAGUGUGGCCGAGCACUGUGAAAGACCCGGAUGAGCUCGCCCCCGAAAUAUUCACCAGUGAGGGUGAUGGAUAUGGAUCAUGUUUAUGAUCAAGUUUAUAACGAGUAUAACUCGAGUUGGGGAUGCGCGACAGAGGGACAGUCCAAUGGUUAGCUACCAGGACUUGUCGGGUUGGCUCUAUAACUGACAGAUGAUAUCAUCAGCCACUAGGGACAGGCAUUCAUCAUAUGCAUACUAUGUGAAUUGUUUGAGAUUGCCUAUUUGACUGCAUAUUACUUGCUAAUUGUCUAAAUGUCUUAACUGCUCCUAUUUGUAUAUUCUUUGUCUGAUAUAAUUGUGUUUGCUAUUAUAUACUCCUGCUGGUGGUUGGGAGGUUUGAAGGAAUUGGAAAGGGAAGUAUUAGUUAGACUGAAGAAUCUUUAGUCAGAUACCCUUAUAUGGUUUAGCUUGUUUAUAAGCUUUGAUAUUAUCUGGAGGAAGUUCUAGGAUUGCCUUUGGCUUUCCUCUAUUAUUAUGUAUUAUAUAUGUGGAAGCUGUUACCGUGCUGGGGACCUCUGGUUCUCACCCAUGCGGAUUUUGUGGUUUUCAGAUGCAGGACGCGAGGCUUCUCGUUGAGGCAUGCUGGAGACUUCUGGAUUAGCGAAGAUCUUUGUUCUCGGGGCUCUGUUUUGGUUUAUAUAUCUUGUUUAGAUACUUU